rnacentral:RNase_P_RNA from 1 species
CGAGUUGGCCGGGCGGCCGCGGCUCUCGGGUCUUGCCCGAGAGUCGAGGAAAGUCCGGACUUCACAGAGCAGGGUGAUUGCCAACGGCAAUCCGAGGUGACUCGCGGGACAGUGCCACAGAAAGUAGACCGCCGCCCCUCCUUCGGGCAGGGCGGUAAGGGUGAAACGGUGCGGUAAGAGCGCACCAGCACUCCGGGUGACCGGAGUGGCUAGGUAAACCCCACCCGAAGCAAGGCCAAGAAGGCCGCAACCUGGUUGCGGCUGCGCGGACGUUCGAGGGCUGCUCGCCCGAGUCCGCGGGUAGGCCGCUUGAGGCACCCGGUGACGGUGUGUCCAGAUGGAUGGUCGCCGCCGCACCGUCGGAAAUGACGGCGCGGAACAGAAUCCGGCUUACAGGCCAACUCGUCCG